AUGACACGCAUCUUAACAUUUAUAUAAAUAUAUAUCAUAACCUAAAUAUAAAUAAUUUAACAACUUAAAUUAGAAAAAAAAAUAAAAAUCUGGGGCGUAGCCCGGGUUAAUCCCUAGUCUAUCUAUCUAUCUAUCUAUCUAUCUAUCUAUAUAUAUAAAGUACAGUUUAUUCUCUUCUCAUUGCGCCACGUCAGCAGCCACAUAGAUAAUUAAGUUUGACACGUGUCCAGGUGAAUUUUAUUGAUGUCGUUUGGGGAGUGUUGUUAAUGGGCCUCUACGAGUUUUAUUGCUGAUAUAUGGGGAGUUUUAUUAAUGGGCCUCUACGAGUUACAUUGAUGUCGUUCAAUUGCGGCCUACAUGAUGCGUUUUUUUGUCGUGACCUGAAAAAGUGAAAUAUCAUCUUCUGCGAUGGAUUCUAGGGUUCAUCCUUUUCUCAAGAUCCGAUUAGGUCAAACUGUAAUGGAGGUGCUGGGAGGUUCUCUGUGUCAAAUAUUCGUAUUGAAUCUCUAUGUCGGUUUCAUUCAUGUUGUUCCGUCUCUGAUUCAACGUAUAUCAUACGCUACGAGAUUCAGUGUUUAUCGUCAUUAAUAGUCAUCUUUACUCCUUAGAUCCACGCCAUCAACGAUUACUCAUUCAAUUUUUCUUAACUCCCUUCCAGUCGGUGAAACGUUUCCUAUAUAACGGUCAGUCUUCUUCCCAUGAUCAUCAUCCUCACCGAAUCCAUUUAAUGUCUAACUUAUUUAUCAUUUUUUGCUGAUUUCCCAUCGUGGAGGUGUGCCUCCUCAGGUUUUGAGAAGCCAGAAACGAGCUCAUGGGUGACUCUAAGGUGAUUCUGUUCAAGAAAUUAAUGUUCAUCGUAAAGGUUGAACACACGGCGGCGUAUAGGAUCAUAGUUAUGAGAAAUAUGUUAUGAAAAAUCUAUUUUUCUUCCUUGGGAGACGGUUUUGAAUCCAGUUGUUUUCAAAAUUCUAUUUUUGGUUUCGAAUCGGUUGUUGAUUAUGUUUUUUUUAUUAUGUUCUUAAAACUCAUGUUCAUCGGAGUGUUUGAACACACAGUGGCGUUAGGCUCACUUAUAUAUAAAAAAUCAGAAUUAUAAUUUCCCUCUUUUGGAGAUGUCUCGACAGUUGUUGAUUGUUUUUUUUUUCCUUUUUUAGCGUUUUCAGGCGACACUCAUGCUAGCAACCGUGUACCAUCCCAACUGAGAAUUUCCGGUUUUGAAAGUAUGAACAACUACAGGCUCUGGCUAAUGCUGACUUUGAUUUGCCGGGUUUUGUUUCUGAACUAUUAACGUCCCAACAUGCCUUUCCUUGAAAACAGAUAAAUAUAUCAUAUUGACUUAACUUAUAUGACAUUUGUACUCAUGAUUAUCAAAAUUUUGUAUUCAUAUAUUUAGAUCAUCAUAGUUUUAGACUUUUUUGGAUCAUGAUUAUCAAAAUUUUGUAUUCAUAUCUUUAAAUUUUGUAUUCAUAUCUUUAGAUCAUCAUGAUUGUGCUAUAUACAAUACAAGUGCUGCUCUCAAGCUGUCUGAUUAUUUUCGAAUGAUUUAUAACUCUUUGGAUGAAGAUGAGAUGCUAAGAAAGCUAAGGAAGUUUGCAAGGUUUGGUGAUCAAAUUGGACUAAAUGGGAAGGUUUAGGCGACAGAGAAACAAAGAAUUAGUAAAGAUAAGUUUACAAUUGUAAGAGCUCCCCACAUGCAUCAAGGUCUGUAAAAACUAAUAUUCUUGGCUUAGGAUAUGCAUCACUUUCCCAUUUUUAGAUUCUUUCACCUUAUUUUCAAAAGGUUUAUUACUUCCUUCACUAUUGACUUUAAAAUUGUAAUUCUAUUUUAUAAAUUCAUAAAAUAUGUUCAUUAGGCCUUUUAAAUUUGUUUCUAUUCAUGCUUCACCUCAUAUUUGUUAUUGGCCAUACUCUGCGAUUUUUUCAACAAGUUGAGGAUAAGGUGUAUAGAUGUUUCCAAUUUGUUGGACAAAAGUAUAAAUAUUUCCUUUAAAGAUCACUAAUUUUAAAGAAAAGGAAAAAUAUGAUCUCAAAAGAGCAAUGACAAUGUCAUGUAAAAAGAGAAGAUCAAUGACAAUAUAAAGCUGAAUUAAAACCUUAAAAAGAUAAUGUUUAAGAGCGUUCAGGUUAGAGGGAGAUCAUAAGGAUGGAGCCACCGCAAAUGAUCCAAGACUCACAAAAGAGAUACUAUUUCGAAACAAAUUGGGUUAUGCAAGUGAAGAAAUUGACUCACACUUUUGAUGAAAUUAAUCUAUAUCCAGUCAGUAGUACACACAACAAUAAACAGAAACUGCCAACAAAUAAAAGACUUCUUGAACCAUAUGUUCACCAAGGUUGAGACCUCAUAAGAAGUGUAAGAAAAGUUUAUAUAUUUUCUAAUUUACUCUUUGACUUUUUAUUACAUUUAGGUUCACAAAAAUAAAGUAAAGUUUAAAAAUCAAUAGUGUAUGAAGUUUAACAAAAAAAAAAAUCAAUCCUUAAAAUCAUAAAAAAAUAUAAAAAUUGAAAAAAAAAUAACAAAA